CAGCGCUUUCGGCGCCAUUUUCGAGUGAUGCCUGAUCUCAUCAAUCUAGCGGGAGAGACGGGAUAACCUGUCUUGAGCGUAUAGUGCCACUAGCGCUCCGCUGAAAAACCACUAAAAAAAAAAAAAAUCACCAAAAAUAACUUGGAGCAAAAGACAAUCCGCGAAGCUUCGCCAGGGUUGACGCAGUGGGUUUUGACCUUUAGGAGAGAGCCAAUUCUGGAAAACAAUCUAACUUCUUUGAUUGAAUACACACAUAAUGCUUUGGAACAUGAUAGGAGAUUAAGCUGGGAGCAAGGGCUAGGAGAUUGCUGCUGCCUGUCAGCUGUUCUACAGAAUAGCAUCAAUAUUCAGAAAUGAUCGUCAAAGAAGCCUGCACCCA
rnacentral:lncRNA from 1 species